AUUGAACGCUGGCGGCAGGCCUAACACAUGCAAGUCGAGCGGAUGAAGGGAGCUUGCUCCUGGAUUCAGCGGCGGACGGGUGAGUAAUGCCUAGGAAUCUGCCUGGUAGUGGGGGAUAACGUCCGGAAACGGGCGCUAAUACCGCAUACGUCCUGAGGGAGAAAGUGGGGGAUCUUCGGACCUCACGCUAUCAGAUGAGCCUAGGUCGGAUUAGCUAGUUGGUGGGGUAAAGGCCUACCAAGGCGACGAUCCGUAACUGGUCUGAGAGGAUGAUCAGUCACACUGGAACUGAGACACGGUCCAGACUCCUACGGGAGGCAGCAGUGGGGAAUAUUGGACAAUGGGCGAAAGCCUGAUCCAGCCAUGCCGCGUGUGUGGAGAAGGUCUUCGGAUUGUAAAGCACUUUAAGUUGGGAGGAAGGGCAGUAAGUUAAUACCUUGCUGUUCUGACGUUACCAACAGAAUAAGCACCGGCUAACUUCGUG
rnacentral:rRNA from 1 species